CAGAGUUUACAGAUGCUUCCUCAACAACGGAAAGCCAUAGCAAAAUUUAAGGAGCCAGCACAUGCUUUAGCAUUUCAACAGAAAUUCCACAGGCACAUGAUAGAUCUGUCCCACAUAAACGUGGCACUGAUAGUUGAGUGAUGUCUGCUGAGAGAAACCCUGACACUAACAGAAGCGUACUGUGGAGCUACACAAGACACAGUGGCAAAACCAUCGGGUCGUGAAACCUUUCAGCUUAGUCUUUAAUUGCUAUGUUGAACUACAGAAAGCAGCAAGAUGUCCUCCGGAAGAGCUGAACUUGAGAGGCUCUGCAAAGGUGGAAUUUCUGUUCGGUUUGUUCACGUUCUGUUGUAACCACGUGGAACUACAGAUUUUUUUUUUUCUCAAAAUGCUUUCAAUGCAUGUAGACACUGUUCUUCAAGAUCCUACUGUGUGACCACAGUGACUUGAGGGAGAACGUUUACAUUGAAAGAUUUAAAAACUUUCUUCAUAGCAAAGAAUAUUUGAUAAUGGUUGCUCUUAUCUUCAGUGCGAGGUAUUUGAAUGAAAACUCACUUUUCUAAACAAAACACAUUAGUUAUGUUGUAUAUCUGAAAGCACAGAAGGUAUUCUUGCAUAGAUUUAAACGUGGUCUACUUCACUGAAUAGCGGUAUGCUGAGAAGCUUUGGAGGUGACACUGGAAAAUUGUAGUUUUGAUCUUUGUAAAUAUGUUAAGUCUGUCUUUGCGUUUUUCUAUUCCGACACAGACUUCCAUCUUCUCCUUCCAACUCCACUUAUUCCAUAAAACCCUGUGUAGGAAUAACAUUGCUGUAUUUUCCCUUGGUUUUUAAAAACAAGGAUCUUUGCCCUUCAGUAGCAUGGUGGGGUAGUGAACUCCAAGUUGUAACUAGGUUGUUUUAAAUGACGUUGCCAGAUACAAGGAAAAAGAAAUAUUUAGUGGCUCACUUCGAAAAUGUUACACAGGAAGAGUGACGCAUUCCUAAUAGUUCUUUUGGGCUAGCGUUUCAUGAUUGCCUUAUGCUUUAUUUUGAUUAGUUUUUUUUCUUUGAGAUUUAUUUUGUGAUUAAUGCUGAACCAUCAGAAACCCAUAACUGAAAGGACUUGGUUUGAUGUGUUGUUCCCGAUAAAUACAGGUCUAUUAAGACAUUGUGAAUCUGCUGGUGAACGUGGCAGUUCCCAAAAAUUACGUGCAAACAUUAAGGACCUUAUAUGUUAUUCAAAGUAAAAUCCAUAAUGUUUCCUUUUGGUUAGAACCAUCUAGAUGGUGUUGCCAAAGGAACAAUUUUUUCAGUUACUUCUGAAUAAACUUAUUAAAAUGUCAUCUUUAUAUUGGAUUCCAGUUUUUAUGAACACUUCCUUAGUUUUUAGACUGUGAGCUUUUGCUCCAUCCUUUAUUUUAGGAGUACUCUUAAGCACUCCACCUACAAUUUGAAUGGGUGGACUUACAGAAACCGUAUAGGUUUGUUACCUGAGUGACCGCAGAAGAACACUAUUGGUAUGUAAUGCAGCAGCUGUGAAUGGGGUCCAAAAUAGGCAUGCCAAGCGUGGAAGGAUGAACUAAGCAAGUUUAUAGUAGCACAGAUUUUUUUUUUUUUUGAAGAUUUACUGGUAACCAAGUCAAAGACUUAACUGGCUUUCUUAACAGUUUUGGUCCAGAUUUUCAAUUAAGUAGAAGUUACCAAAAAUAAUGGUUGAAUAAUAAAUACUGUCAAAAGUCUUCUAGAUAGAACAGCUCUUUGUUCAUUGAAAUAAUAGAGAAUAAUGUGGUACUUUGGAAAUAUUGCACUGGGAAAAAAUGUAAAGAAUACUCUAAGCCCAUUUACAACUUAGUGACGAGACACAGUAACAUCAUGAGAAUUUUUGCAUGGAAGUGAGUUUUACACCCUUCUGUGUUAGUUCCCCAUUUAUGCAUAAUAUUUAAUAAUAUCCAGCACAAUUACUAUACAUAAAGCGCUAUUAGUGCUUCAGGGUAAGACCCAAGCGCAGGACAGAGAAUGAGCCGCAGGUAGGAAGUGCCCAGUGGGAGCCGACCCCGAAGACUCUUGCGAGCUGAUCGCAGUGACUGGCUCUGCCACGUGCUGUUUAACUCCUCACACCGUGAGCAGUAGGACCCCUACGCUGCCUCCUCAGGUUAUGUAAUUUUUAUUUUUAAGAAAUAAACGCUUACCUUUAACACAAGUCAUUAAACAGUUAUUCAUCCCACUGUUAGGGAGCAGCUUCUCCGCAAUGAGAAGGAUGGGAAGGCAUCUCGGCGUGGAGCGAUAAUAGUGCGUGUCUGGAAAUCUGGGUUAGAUGCAAAUGCCAGACAGGCCAGCAGCUGAGUUCAGCAGUAGGAACAUCUGCAGUUGAUCAGCUGUCCUGUCAGAAGCAAACGUUAUUGGGGUUAGAGGGUUUCUUGGAGCCUAAGAAUAUGGGUUUGAUUCAAAAGUCAAAGAAGUUUGUAGAAACGCUCCUGCUUUGGGUUUUGAAUCCAUCCCAAAGAGGCUGAGGUUCAGCCAACUUAAGUUUUAACAAUUUUUAUUCAGUUGGGUUUUUUAAAAAAAAUUUUUGAGACAAACGUGUGGCUUUGGAAUAAAGACAUGAAAUCGCCUCAGAUCUGUUUAAAUGUAGGAGGCAAUGUAAGCAAUGCCUGUUUAAUGACUAGAUGCAUCCUCUUUAAUGGCAGUUGCAGUAGAUUAUUGCUUGUGCAUAGACAGAGUACGGGCGGAUCGCUGGUGGUGAUUUUAGCUGCUUAUUGCAGUACCUGGGUAUCUGACUAUAUGUAAACUUACUAUAUGUAUGUAUGUCUAUAUGCAUUUUAUUAUACACAUACAUACAUACUCACACCCUUUGUUGUCACCAUAUCUCUCUAAUAUCUUAAACUCAGUAGCAAAAGUAGCAAUUAGGUGAGCCGUUUGUUAAAAUGUUUGUGUUUUGUUAGUUCUCAAAUCCUAACUUAAAAGUGGAUCUCUUGGCAAUGAUCAGUUUGGAUGAUACAGCUCUUCUAGAUCCAUUUGUUGUCUCCUCCCAAAAAAACCCAAAGGAAGUAGAGGUAAAGCUAGACGGAUGUGUUCUUGCCAUGUUCUCUUUCAGCACAUAGUUAAAUCUGAGCAUCUUAAGUUAACUUUCUUGGAAGAUCUGUUGCAACCAUUAUCUUGUUCUUUCUUUAUCAUGCAUUCAAAAUACGAUGCAAAAUGCAAAAAAAAAAAAAAAAGGCAUUUAAUGUAAUAUGUAAAUAUUGACCUUUUAAAAUUAAAAUGUUACUCAAAAUGCUUACAGUCAACCACAUCUUAGCUACUUGUUAGUUUUUUGUGUUGUCUUAUCUAAGUUUAAUGGAUACAGUUCCAUAAAUGUUGAUGUGUUUUUGUGUAUAUCUUCAAAUUUUUAUAAAGAUGCUAGUAAGUCAAUA